UACGUAGGGGGCAAGCGUUGUCCGGAUUUAUUGGGCGUAAAGAGCGUGUAGGCGGCUUGGUAGGUCCGCUGUGAAAACUCGAGGCUCAACCUCGAGAUGUCGGCGGAAACCACUUGGCUAGAGUCCGGAAGAGGAGAGUGGAAUUCCUGGUGUAGCGGUGAAAUGCGCAGAUAUCAGGAAGAACACCAAUGGCGAAAGCAGCUCUCUGGGACGGUACUGACGCUAAGGCGCGAAAGCGUGGGGAGCGAACAGG
rnacentral:rRNA from 1 species